AUUGAACGCUGGCGGCAUGCUUUACACAUGCAAGUCGAACGGCAGCGCGGGCUUCGGCCUGGCGGCGAGUGGCGCACGGGUGAGUAAUGCAUCGGAACGUGCCCAGUAGUGGGGGAUAGCCCGGCGAAAGCCGGAUUAAUACCGCAUACGACCUGAGGGUGAAAGCGGGGGACCGAAAGGCCUCGCGCUAUUGGAGCGGCCGAUGUCGGAUUAGCUAGUUGGUGGGGUAAAGGCUUACCAAGGCGACGAUCCGUAGCUGGUCUGAGAGGACGACCGGCCACACUGGGACUGAGACACGGCCCAGACUCCUACGGGAGGCAGCAGUGGGGAAUUUUGGACAAUGGGGGCAACCCUGAUCCAGCCAUGCCGCGUGCGGGAAGAAGGCCUUCGGGUUGUAAACCGCUUUUGUUCGGGAAGAAAUCCUCUGGGCUAAUACCCCGGGGGGAUGACGGUACCGGAAGAAUAAGCACCGGCUAACUACGUG
rnacentral:rRNA from 1 species